UACGAAGGGGACUAGCGUUGUUCGGAAUUACUGGGCGUAAAGCGCACGUAGGCGGCUUUGUAAGUUAGAGGUGAAAGCCCGGGGCUCAACCCCGGAAUUGCCUUUAAGACUGCAUCGCUUGAAUCCGGGAGAGGUGAGUGGAAUUCCGAGUGUAGAGGUGAAAUUCGUAGAUAUUCGGAAGAACACCAGUGGCGAAGGCGGCUCACUGGACCGGUAUUGACGCUGAGGUGACGAAAGCGUGGGGAGCAAACAGG
rnacentral:rRNA from 1 species